AGACAACAAAAUGUUUAAUAUUAUUAUUUUGUCACCUUAGGUCGAUCGGUAUCUCACGUUUUUAAUUUAUUAAGAAUUUCAUUUCCUAAGUUUUUUUAGGUCACACCCAUUAUUUUUCCUGGGCCAUUAGCUCAGGUGGUUAGAGCGCACCCCUGAUAAGGGUGAGGUCCCUGGUUCAAGUCCAGGAUGGCCCAUAUCUCUAUGUUGGGGGUAUAGCUCAGUUGGUAGAGCGCCUGCUUUGCAAGCAGGAUGUCAGCGGUUCGAGUCCGCUUACCUCCACUGAUCACCACCUCUUCCAUAAUCGGUAGAAAGGAAAUUUUUUGAAUUGUGAUCAAAUUCUGAAAGAAUCUAGCUUCCUAAUGAAAUCAUUAAGAUGCUGGACUCAUUGAAUUAAUUUCAUUGUUUUCAGAGAACCUUGACAACUGCAUAGAUUAUUUUUAAAGACAAUAAGCAUCUUUAAUGAUGCAGAUUUAUUAUUUGUGCAAAUGCAUUAAUAACAAUUCUAUUAAGCUGAUGCUUCAAUAUUUGAAGUUAUU
rnacentral:tRNA from 1 species